AGAACUAACGCUGGCGGCGCGUCUUAAACAUGCAAGUCGAGCGGUAAGGCCCGCAAGGGUACACGAGCGGCAAACGGGUGAGUAACACGUAGGUAAUCUUCCCUUCAGUGGGGGACAACCUGCCGAAAGGCAGGCUAAUACCCCAUAUUUCCAGUCCUUCCACGGUGGGAUUGUAGAAAGCAGCAAUGCGCUGAAGGAUGAGCCUGCGGCUGAUUAGCUUGUUGGCGGGGUAACGGCCCACCAAGGCGACGAUCAGUAGCCGGCCUGAGAGGGUGUCCGGCCACACUGGGACUGAGACACGGCCCAGACUCCUACGGGAGGCAGCAGUUAAGAAUCUUGCGCAAUGGGCGCAAGCCUGACGCAGCGACGCCGCGUGCGCGAUGAAGGCCUUCGGGUUGUAAAGCGCAAUAGACAGGGAAGAAGAAAGUGACGGUACCUGUUGAAAGCACCGGCUAACUACGUG
rnacentral:rRNA from 1 species